CAGUAGCCGCGGUAAAACGUAGGGUGCAAGCGUUAAUCGGAAUUACUGGGCGUAAAGCGUGCGCAGGCGGUUAUAUAAGACAGAUGUGAAAUCCCCGGGCUCAACCUGGAAACUGCAUUUGUGACUGUAUAGCUAGAGUACGGCAGAGGGGGAUGGAAUUCCGCGUGUAGCAGUGAAAUGCGUAGAUAUGCGGAGGAACACCGAUGGCGAAGGCAAUCCCCUGGGCCUGUACUGACGCUCAUGCACGAAAGCGUGGGGAGCAAACAGGAUUAGAUACCCGUGUAGUCCCUGUCUCUUAUAC
rnacentral:rRNA from 1 species